CUCCUCCUCCUCCUCCUCCUCCUCCUCCUCUUCCCUGCCUGGGUGAAACUCGAGCGCCCCACCCGCGCCUGACCUCCCCGAGCCCCUCCCCGAGCCCCUCCCCGGGCCCCGCCCCUUCCCGGUACAGGACCCCCACCUUCGCUCCUGGGAGCCCCGCUGCACCCCAGGAGUUCCAUUCCAGGCUCCCUAGUGCGAGUGCGGCCGAGCGCUGACUUUUGGGGGCUCCCUCCUCCGUCUCACUGAGUCCCUCUGCGGCUCCCCCGCCGGCUGUCCCGGCUCAGACGUGGCUGCACCCCGGAGGGGGGCGCCGGCCGAGACCUGAGACGUGGCGCUCCCGCUCUGCCGGCCUCGGCUUCAGUGCUUGAAUUUCAGCCACAUCCCUAAGCUGCCAUCUCAGACCAGAGGAAGAAGGAGGGGGGCUUUCUGGAAAGAACAUCACCUGGAAGAAAUCAGGACAUAACUGUGGGCCAUGAGUGACCUUCAAAGGAAAGCCGGGUAUCUGUGGCUUUUAAGAUGUGAUCCAUAACAUUUAAAAACUGAAGAAAUGAAAAGAUCAUCUGAUCAGUCCCAUCAGUCUUUUUCCUAAUGCUAAACAUUGGUACAAAGAUGUGAAAUUUGAUGUCUCACUAAGAUUGCCUAGUGCUGCUUUAUUGCUCACCUACUUCAAAGUAUUGGGAAAACAUGAUUAUGGGUACAGGUGAUGCUCUGUUGCCCCCAAACAGGUUUCUUUUGUCAGGUUCUUUUGAUGGAUUAGGAAUCUACAAGUGGGGAGAUUUUAGGGAAAUUGCCCCUCCACUUGGAUUUCACCAAAACGUCUUUAGGGUUCUCUUACCCCAAGAAACACGCAUUCCUCUUUAGUGUGGCAGCCCACUCUAUUGGCAAAGUUAAGCAGACCAGUUUUAUUUAAAAAGAGCCACCCAGAAACUUGGACAGAAAAUACUUGAGGCACAGAUGAGAAUGAGCACAAAUGUGCAUAGCAAGUGCAGUUUCCUGGCCCUUAAACUGAAGGGCCAGGUCAGUCUGCUCCUCCAGGCACAUCCUGGGACCCCAUCAUGUGCCCCACUCUGCAGUCUGAGCUUCCACUCAAGUCCUCCAGGGCCUGCCUCACAUACAUAAACAAGACCCAAUGUCAGAGUCUGCCUCUGCCCGUGUCUGGUCAAAGGGUUGCACUUUGCCACUGCUACAUGUUCCCAGAGGUUGGCACAGCGUGACCUGGACCUCUCCUAAUCCAGGCAAACUCUGCUCAUCUUUGAGCUCUCUGGAACCCGUUUCUCAAGGGAGACCACAUUCUCCCAUCUCACAGCCACGUUCAAGGCAGCAGCCUGGUUAAAGCAAUGACUCAAGGAUACCAGAAGCAGACCACACAUUUAACAAGAUGUGCUGACUCGCAGGAGCAGCUGACUCUUCUUAAGAAGAGUUUACUGAUUCUUCUUUCAGUACAGGCCUUUUAAUAAGAUAUUGUGUUUUACUUCAGCUAUGGGUGCAGACAAUUAAAGGAUUCUAGAAAUCUGAAAGUGUUUUGCCUUGUCCUCUUGGUUAAAUUUCUGGACAUAUUGUCUAGCAACUCAAUUUGCUUAAACAAAAUUGUUGUGUCAAAAAAGCCCAAGUCAUCUUUUAUAAGUAUGGUCUGGGGAGAAGAAAAAAAAAUGCUAAGUUUAAAAGAUUUUUGGAAUAUCUGAAGAAAAUACAGAUAGCUUGUAAUGGAGAUAAAGCCUCUGGAUGGUUUCCAGGGUGUUAUUUUCUGACAUUGAGUCUUGUAUAUAUCUUGAAUGUCUAUAAGCAAAGAAUGGCCAUACUUUUUUAAAAAGAUAUGUUUUAUACUUAUU
rnacentral:lncRNA from 1 species